rnacentral:rRNA from 1 species
CAGCCGCCGCGGGAAUACGAAGGGUGCAAGCGUUAAUCGGAAUUACUGGGCGUAAAGCGUGCGUAGGCGGUGAGUUAAGUCUGCUGUGAAAUCCCCGGGCUCAACCUGGGAAUGGCAGUGGAUACUGGCUCGCUAGAGUGUGUCAGAGGAUGGUGGAAUUCCCGGUGUAGCGGUGAAAUGCGUAGAGAUCGGGAGGAACAUCAGUGGCGAAGGCGGCCAUCUGGGACAACACUGACGCUGAGGCACGAAAGCGUGGGGAGCAAACAGGAUUAGAUACCUGGGUAGUCCCUGUCUCUUAUAC